rnacentral:rRNA from 1 species
AGAGUUUGAUCAUGGCUCAGGAUGAACGCUAGCGACAGGCUUAACACAUGCAAGUCGAGGGGCAGCAUGAUUUGUAGCAAUACAGAUUGAUGGCGACCGGCGCACGGGUGAGUAACGCGUAUGCAACUUACCUAUCAGAGGGGGAUAGCCCGGCGAAAGUCGGAUUAAUACCCCAUAAAACAGGGGUCCCGCAUGGGAAUAUUUGUUAAAGAUUCAUCGCUGAUAGAUAGGCAUGCGUUCCAUUAGGCAGUUGGCGGGGUAACGGCCCACCAAACCGAGGAUGGAUAGGGGUUCUGAGAGGAAGAUCCCCCGCAUUGGUACGGAGACACGGACCAAACUCCUACGGGAGGCAGCAGUGAUGAAUAUUGGUCAAUGGCCGAGAGGCUGAACCAGCCAAGUCGCGUGAAGGAAGAAGGAUCUAUGGUUUGUAAACUUCUUUUAUAGGGGAAUAAAGUGGAGGACGUGUCCUUUUUUGUAUGUACCCUAUGAAUAAGCAUCGGCUAACUCCGUGCCAGCCGCCGCGGUAAUAC